UACGUAGGGUGCGAGCGUUGUCCGGAAUUAUUGGGCGUAAAGAGCGCGUAGGCGGUCAGGUCAGUCCCGUGUGAAAUCCCUCGGCUCAACUGAGGAACUGCACGGGAAACUGCCUGGCUUGAGUUCGGGAGAGGGAAGCGGAAUUCCUGGUGUAGCGGUGAAAUGCGCAGAUAUCAGGAGGAACACCGGUGGCGAAGGCGGUUCUCUGGGCAUUACCUGACGCUGAGGAGCGAAAGUGUGGGGAGCGAACAGG
rnacentral:rRNA from 1 species